rnacentral:rRNA from 1 species
GGGUUGUGAGGUUAAGCGACUAAGCGUACACGGUGGAUGCCCUGGCAGUCAGAGGCGAUGAAGGACGUGCUAAUCUGCGAAAAGCGCCGGCGAGGUGAUAUGAACCUUUGACCCGGCGAUGUCCGAAUGGGGAAACCCAGUGCAAUUCGUUGCACUAUCGUUAACUGAAUACAUAGGUUAACGAGGCGAACCGGGGGAACUGAAACAUCUAAGUACCCCGAGGAAAAGAAAUCAACCGAGAUUCCCCCAGUAGCGGCGAGCGAACGGGGAGCAGCCCAGAGUCUGAAUCAGCUUGUGUGUUAGUGGAAGCGUCUGGAAAGUCGCACGGUACAGGGUGACAGUCCCGUACACGAAAAUGCACAGGUUGUGAACUCGAAGAGUAGGGCGGGACACGUGGUAUCCUGUCUGAAUAUGGGGGGACCAUCCUCCAAGGCUAAAUACUCCUGACUGACCGAUAGUGAACCAGUACCGUGAGGGAAAGGCGAAAAGAACCCCGGCGAGGGGAGUGAAAAAGAACCUGAAACCGUGUACGUACAAGCAGUGGGAGCACCUUCGUGGUGUGACUGCGUACCUUUUGUAUAAUGGGUCAGCGACUUAUAUUCUGUAGCAAGGUUAACCGUAUAGGGGAGCCGAAGGGAAACCGAGUCUUAACUGGGCGUUAAGUUGCAGGGUAUAGACCCGAAACCCGGUGAUCUAGCCAUGGGCAGGUUGAAGGUUGGGUAACACUAACUGGAGGACCGAACCGACUAAUGUUGAAAAAUUAGCGGAUGACUUGUGGCUGGGGGUGAAAGGCCAAUCAAACCGGGAGAUAGCUGGUUCUCCCCGAAAGCUAUUUAGGUAGCGCCUCGUGAACUCAUCUUCGGGGGUAGAGCACUGUUUCGGCUAGGGGGCCAUCCCGGCUUACCAACCCGAUGCAAACUACGAAUACCGAAGAAUGUUAUCACGGGAGACACACGGCGGGUGCUAACGUCCGUCGUGAAGAGGGAAACAACCCAGACCGCCAGCUAAGGUCCCAAAGUCAUGGUUAAGUGGGAAACGAUGUGGGAAGGCACAGACAGCCAGGAUGUUGGCUUAGAAGCAGCCAUCAUUUAAAGAAAGCGUAAUAGCUCACUGGUCGAGUCGGCCUGCGCGGAAGAUGUAACGGGGCUAAACCAUGCACCGAAGCUGCGGCAGCGACGCUUAGGCGUUGUUGGGUAGGGGAGCGUUCUGUAAGCCGUUGAAGGUGUCCUGUGAGGGGUGCUGGAGGUAUCAGAAGUGCGAAUGCUGACAUAAGUAACGAUAAAGCGGGUGAAAAGCCCGCUCGCCGGAAGACCAAGGGUUCCUGUCCAACGUUAAUCGGGGCAGGGUGAGUCGACCCCUAAGGCGAGGCCGAAAGGCGUAGUCGAUGGGAAACAGGUUAAUAUUCCUGUACUUGGUGUUACUGCGAAGGGGGGACGGAGAAGGCUAUGUUAGCCGGGCGACGGUUGUCCCGGUUUAAGCAUGUAGGCGGAGGUUCCAGGUAAAUCCGGUACCUUUUAACGCUGAGGUGUGAUGACGAGGCACUACGGUGCUGAAGUAACAAAUGCCCUGCUUCCAGGAAAAGCCUCUAAGCAUCAGGUAACAUCAAAUCGUACCCCAAACCGACACAGGUGGUCAGGUAGAGAAUACCAAGGCGCUUGAGAGAACUCGGGUGAAGGAACUAGGCAAAAUGGUGCCGUAACUUCGGGAGAAGGCACGCUGAUAUGUAGGUGAAGCCCCUGCGGGUGGAGCUGAAAUCAGUCGAAGAUACCAGCUGGCUGCAACUGUUUAUUAAAAACACAGCACUGUGCAAACACGAAAGUGGACGUAUACGGUGUGACGCCUGCCCGGUGCCGGAAGGUUAAUUGAUGGGGUUAGCGGCAACGCGAAGCUCUUGAUCGAAGCCCCGGUAAACGGCGGCCGUAACUAUAACGGUCCUAAGGUAGCGAAAUUCCUUGUCGGGUAAGUUCCGACCUGCACGAAUGGCGUAAUGAUGGCCAGGCUGUCUCCACCCGAGACUCAGUGAAAUUGAACUCGCUGUGAAGAUGCAGUGUACCCGCGGCAAGACGGAAAGACCCCGUGAACCUUUACUAUAGCUUGACACUGAACACUGGUCCUUGAUGUGUAGGAUAGGUGGGAGGCUUUGAAGCGUGGACGCCAGUCUGCGUGGAGCCAACCUUGAAAUACCACCCUUUAAUGGCUGGUGUUCUAACGUAGACCCGUAAUCCGGGUUGCGGACAGUGUCUGGUGGGUAGUUUGACUGGGGCGGUCUCCUCCCAAAGAGUAACGGAGGAGCACGAAGGUUAGCUAAUCCUGGUCGGACAUCAGGAGGUUAGUGCAAUGGCAUAAGCUAGCUUGACUGCGAGAGUGACGGCUCGAGCAGGUGCGAAAGCAGGUCAUAGUGAUCCGGUGGUUCUGAAUGGAAGGGCCAUCGCUCAACGGAUAAAAGGUACUCCGGGGAUAACAGGCUGAUACCGCCCAAGAGUUCAUAUCGACGGCGGUGUUUGGCACCUCGAUGUCGGCUCAUCACAUCCUGGGGCUGAAGUAGGUCCCAAGGGUAUGGCUGUUCGCCAUUUAAAGUGGUACGCGAGCUGGGUUUAGAACGUCGUGAGACAGUUCGGUCCCUAUCUGCCGUGGGCGCUGGAGAAUUGAGGGGGGCUGCUCCUAGUACGAGAGGACCGGAGUGGACGCAUCACUGGUGUUCGGGUUGUCAUGCCAAUGGCACUGCCCGGUAGCUAAAUGCGGAAAAGAUAAGUGCUGAAAGCAUCUAAGCACGAAACUUGCCCCGAGAUGAGUUCUCCCUGACUCCUUGAGAGUCCUGAAGGAACGUUGAAGACUACGACGUUGAUAGGUCGGGUGUGUAAGCGCAGCGAUGCGUUGAGCUAACCGAUACUAAUGAACCGUGAGGCUUAACCUUACAACGCCGAAGCUGUU